GGUCCCUUUCGUCCAGUGGUUAGGACAUCGUCUUUUCAUGUCGAAGACACGGGUUCGAUUCCCGUAAGGGAUAGGUACUCAUUCCCGGCCGCUUUCAGUUAGUGUUCAUUGCUGAGUGAUCGCUCGCUAUCUGGCUGGAAAAGGUGGUCCGGAAGCUUCCUCUCUCCCAGCAAGCAAGAUGAGAUCACCACUUCUCUCGGACUUCC
rnacentral:tRNA from 1 species